AUUGAACGCUAGCGGCAUGCCUAACACAUGCAAGUCGAACGGCAGCGCGAGGAGCUUGCUCCUUGGCGGCGAGUGGCGGACGGGUGCGUAACGCGUAGGAAUCUACCUCGUAGCGGGGGACAACCCGGGGAAACUCGGGCUAAUACCGCAUAAUCUCUUCGGAGCAAAGCAGGGGACCGUAAGGCCCAGCACUAUAAGAUGAGCCUGCGUUGGAUUAGCUAGUUGGUAGGGUAAAGGCCUACCAAGGCGACGAUCCAUAGCUGGUCGGAGAGGACGACCAGCCACACUGGGACUGAGACACGGCCCAGACUCCUACGGGAGGCAGCGGUGGGGAAUAUUGGACAAUGGGCGAAAGCCUGAUCCAGCAAUGCCGCGUGUGUGAGGAAGGCCCUCGGGUUGUAAAGCACUUUCGGUGGGGAAGAAAAAGCCAAAGAUAAUACCUUUGGAAAUUGACGUUACCCACAGAAGAAGCACUGGCUAACUCUGUGCCAGCCGCCGCCGUAA
rnacentral:rRNA from 1 species